AGCGGCCGGGCGGGUGAGAGGCGACCGCGGCGGCAGUGGCCGGAGGAGAUUCGCGGAGCGGAGACUGAGCCAGCGAGUGCGCGCCUAGAAGUUUUUAUAAGUGGCCGCCGCCGAUGAUGAAACGCGCUCUCCCUCCUCCCUCUUUUCCUCGGGUGUCAAAGGCGCUACGAGCCCCCGCCCCGCCGCCGCCGCCGCCGCCGCCCCCUCAGACAGGUGUGACGCCGCAGCGACCCGCGAGGCUUGACUGCCCCGAGAAGAUCCCGCCUGCCGGGAGGCGGAGAGGGAGGGAAGGAGGUGGCGGGCCCGGGGAGGGGAGGUGAGGGCUGUGCGGGGGCAGGAGGUUGCAAGGGGGUGGAGGUUCCUGGGGACUGGCGAAGAGAGGGUGGGCGAAGCGAAGGUGGGUGAGUGGAGGGGAUGGAGAAAGAGGUUGGCAGGGCUGGGGGGCAGGAAGGCUGGGAUAUGAGGGUGCCCGAGGCGGGCGCUGGAGGGGCCAACGUGAGCCGGGGGUGGAGGGGAGCCCCAGCACCCCUCCCGACGUUCUUGGGGAGAUUUACGGAGCCAGUCUCUGCUUGUUUGCACUCGCAGAAAACCUGGGCCCUCAGUUCCGGUGAUGGCUCUGAGACUCGCUGCAGCUCUGUUUGUGUUGAGGACUGAUUUAUAUUUAAACUGCUCUUUGCGCUGGAGAGGGGGCUGGGUAACAAGGUGAAAAGGUGGGGGCUGGGCCCGAAGUCUCUGGACCUGAGCCAAGGUAAACUGCAGGGGCUGUCAAGUGUCAGCAUGGCUGGGUCUGGCCUGGGGUGCUGGGGGGAGGGGUAGAGGGGGUGGGGGGGGUGUGGACAAACAGGACGCACCCCACUGACCUCCUUCUCAGUGCUGGAAUGAAUAGUGGGUUUAUUUUUUCCCCAAGAUUUUCUACUAACAGGAUUCCAAGCGCCGAGAAGAGACAGUGAGGCUUCUCAAGGGAAGGAUAAGAAGGUUCUUCCAAAAGCAGCUGCAGUGAGGAAUCCAGCUCUGGAGGCAUUUUUCCAGCUCCCUCACUUCUGUAGUCCCGUGCAGAGGGAACCUCUCCAAGCCCACCCCAAACCCAGGAAAAGAUGCCGUCAAUAUCCAGGAGGCUUUGGCUAAGACAAAGGCCACAGGAUAGAUAGACCACAUAGGCUUCUUAUUCUACCCAAGACCUGAUACCUUUCUGGGCCUGGUCUGGCCUGGCCUGGGCUUGGGGGCUUCUAUCCACCUGCGACCCAAGUUCCCUGGACACGGCAGCAUUCCAAAGAUGUUGAACAGUGGGCAGCCUCUGGCCUCUUCACUCAGCCACAGAGCGAGGUACAUCCUGACAGGCUUUCCACAGCACUGUAGCAGCCCCAGCCCCAGCCCCAGAGGAGGCAUGAAUUCCAGGUCCCAUCUGUCCACUGGGAGAACAUGGCACACAAGGACAGGUACCAGCAUGGAGCACUUGGUGUGUGCUGGGCAUACCAGGCCCUCUGCUGAGCACCCACAUGCAUGAUUUCAUGAAGCCCCAACGUUAGCCCUACAGGUAUAGGUACUGAUGGAGUCUGGACUCCACAAACAAGGAUGCUAGAGCAGUCGGCUAAGAAAGCUGUCUGAAAGCCACACAGCUAGCAAGUGGUGGAGCUGGACCCUGAAUUCAGCCUUGUCUGACUCCUAAGCCCAGACUUGAAGCACUAUGCCUUCUGAUAAGUUGUCUAGUCCAACAGCCCCAUUUUGCAAGUUGAACCAAACAGGGACCAGAAAACCCCCAGGCCAAGGUCACAGACACCUUAGGGCUACCAUGCCUGGAGCUUCUUUCUCAAACCCUGAGGCCUCACUGUGAUCCUCUGGUAGAACCCCUGGGAGGAUCAGCCUCUCCAGCCCUCACCUAGUCCUGUUCCAUUAACCUGGCCCUCUGCCUCCCGUCAGCGCCAGCAUCAUCUCCAAAGGAAAAGCCUAUUCAGAAAUGCUCACAGAUGCUUAUCUUCCUUCAUUGACCUUUACUGGGUGGAGUUCAGCUAAAUGUAAUGGAGAGCCAACCAAAAUGACUUAAAUGAGAUUUAUUUGUCUCUCAAUAAUUAGAAGUCUGCUAGUAGGUAGUCCAGGGGUCAUGACCUAGGCCCUUCAAGAUUCCUUAGCCUGUGGUUCCCAUCCCUGUGGCUGGCUCAUUGUCACAAGAUGGCUGCUCCAUCUCCAGCCUCCUCUCCUAAUUCCAGGAAAGAUGUGGAAGACAGGAAACAGGAAGGGGCCAUGCUUACAUCAAGGGAGCAAAUCUCUCCCUUGCGUGCACAGUUGCUUUUACUUAAGUCUUCUUGGCCAAACCUGGGUCACAUAGCUACCCCCUGCAAAGGAUGCUAAGAAGUGUAAUUAACACUAUUGCUGUCCUCUGAACAAAAUUGGGGUUUUAUUAGGGAAAAAGGGAGAAAUAAUAUUGUGUUUUACAUUUUCAACACCUACACAUGGAGUAACCCAUUUCCUUUCAAGAGCACUCCUAGAGUCGGUCUCCCAGACUUUCCAUCCUUAAAUUUCAGUAAAUAUUUCCUAGCACUGAAAAAAUACAAAAAAUAGGCUGGGCACGGUGGCUCAUGCCUCUAAUCCCAGCACUUGAGGAGGCUGAGGCGGGCGGAUCACUUGAGGUCAGGAGAUUGAGACCAUCCCGGCCAACAUGGUGAAACCCCUUCUCUACUAAAAAUACAAAAUUAGCCAGGCAUGGUGGCAGGUGUCUGUAGUCCCAGCUGCUUGGGAGGCUGAAGCAGGAGAAUUGCUUGAACCUGGGAGGCAGAGGCUGC
rnacentral:lncRNA from 1 species